ensembl:lncRNA
UUCAUACAUCUAAAGAAAUAUCAAUUUAUUUGAAUACAAACUUAGCUACAUGGCAUGAAAAAAUAUAUCUACCAAAGUGCAUUCAAUUGAAAUGUACUAACACGAUUAAGAGGUUUAAAAAGAGCAAUAAAAUGACAAAAAAAUGACAUUCUUCAAAUUCCCUUUACAUGAAGUAUUGAUCUGGCCAUAAAAACAAAAACAAUGAGACAUUUCAAAGCAGUUUAACAAUUAUUUUGAUAGCAAAGCCACAAACGGUUUUAUUAUUUUAUAAAGAGCAAAUCCAGGGCAAAAACAAGGCUGUGCUAUGACCACUAAACUUUAAAGAACUGGAGUGAUUGUGUUGUAUAGGGCAGUCCUUAAAUUGUUGAAAACCACCGUCUUAUGCUAUUCCAUGGCAAGGAGCUGAUCAAAGUUAAUGCGCUUCCGGCAGAUUGAAAAUAAUAGAAUUGAAUACAAAAAGGGACAGCCUGGUUUUUGCUCUGAAUUUGAUCAUGAACAUUUCGGCAAACCUAUAUUUACUUCCAUUUGUGUCUUUAACAGUAAAUACCCUUUUUAAUAUGAUUGGUUGUAGUUAUGGUUGCUUCUACAGUUCAGUUCCCCCUGAGAACAUUUAAAACAAAUUUACACACAAGGCUCUCACAGACAUUGCUAUAGUUCUUCUCUACAAAAUACUCAUCAGAUCGGGCCUUUUUGACCUCAUAUAAAAGUAAAAAGGCACAAUAGCAGUUUGCAAGCCAGCUAGAAUACAAACGGUUUCAAAUUAAUACAGACCAAUUUUUCCAAUAAUGAAAAUACUAUUCUUAUUAAAUCAUCAUUUCUAACAGUUUUGUGGGGGGUGGUAUCAUAAAAUAGCUUUGUGCUUAUAAAGUACUCCAUAGCUCCAGGAGAGGAGAGACUCCAUAUGGUCUUUCAUAUUCCUUUUCUAUUCCUAACUAAUAGAAUGUAAAUAACAUAUAUUCUGCCAAAUGUAAAAAAAAAUAUAAAAAAUAAAAAAGAUGGUUACAGACUGUAAUCA